AAUGUACCUCCACCCCAAGUUAGUUGACUCAAAUUUUUCUAUAUAUUGAUGUAUCUAGAUACGUUUUAGUGUUAGAUACAUCCAUAUUUAGAUAAAUCUAAGUCAAUUAAUUUGGGACGGAGAGAGUAUUAG
rfam:Triticum urartu cultivar G1812 contig1076012, whole genome shotgun sequence.